rnacentral:rRNA from 1 species
GACGAACGCUGGCGGCGUGCUUAACACAUGCAAGUCGAACGCUGAAGCUCAGCUUUUGUUGGGUGGAUGAGUGGCGAACGGGUGAGUAACACGUGAGUAACCUGCCCCCUUCUUUGGGAUAACGCCCGGAAACGGGUGCUAAUACUGGAUAUUCACUGGUCUUCGCAUGGGGGUUGGUGGAAAGGGUUUUUCUGGUGGGGGAUGGGCUCGCGGCCUAUCAGCUUGUUGGUGGGGUGAUGGCCUACCAAGGCUUUGACGGGUAGCCGGCCUGAGAGGGUGACCGGUCACAUUGGGACUGAGAUACGGCCCAGACUCCUACGGGAGGCAGCAGUGGGGAAUAUUGCGCAAUGGGCGCAAGCCUGAUGCAGCGACGCAGCGUGAGGGAUGGAGGCCUUCGGGUUGUGAACCUCUUUCGCUCAUGGUCAAGCCGCAACAAUGGUUGUGGUGAGGGUAGUGGGUAAAGAAGCGCCGGCUAACUACGUG